GUGAGGAAUAUUGGGCAAUGGAUGCAAGUCUGACCCAGCCAUCCCGCGUGCCGGAAGAAGGCCCUCAGGGUUGUAAACGGCUUUUGACGGUGAAGAAUCGACAGGAUGCGUCCUGUUUUGACGGUAGCCGUUGAAUAAGCACCGGCUAACUCCGUGCCAGCAGCCGCGGUAAUACGGAGGGUGCGAGCGUUGUCCGGAUUUAUUGGGUUUAAAGGGUGCGUAGGCUGGAAGGUCAGUCAGCGGUGAAAAGCUGUCGCUUAACGAUAGUCUUGCCGCAGAUACUUCCUUACUUGGAUGAGGAGGAGGCCACUGGAACGGAUGGUGUAGCGGUGAAAUGCAUAGAUAUCAUCCAGAACACCGAUUGCGAAGGCAGGUGGCUGUACCUUAAUCGACGCUGAUGCACGAAAGCAUGGGGAGCAAACAGGAUUAGAUACCCUUGUAGUCC
rnacentral:rRNA from 1 species